GACGAACGCUGGCGGCGUGCUUAACACAUGCAAGUCGAACGCUGAAGCUCAGCUUUUGUUGGGUGGAUGAGUGGCGAACGGGUGAGUAACACGUGAGUAACCUGCCUCCUUCUUUGGGAUAACGCCCGGAAACGGGUGCUAAUACUGGAUAUUCACUGGUCUUCGCAUGGGGGUUGGUGGAAAGGGUUUUUCUGGUGGGGGAUGGGCUCGCGGCCUAUCAGCUUGUUGGUGGGGUGAUGGCCUACCAAGGCUUUGACGGGUAGCCGGCCUGAGAGGGUGACCGGUCACAUUGGGACUGAGAUACGGCCCAGACUCCUACGGGAGGCAGCAGUGGGGAAUAUUGCACAAUGGGCGCAAGCCUGAUGCAGCGACGCCGCGUGAGGGAUGGAGGCCUUCGGGUUGUGAACCUCUUUCGCUCAUGGUCAAGCCGCAACAAUGGUUGUGGUGAGGGUAGUGGGUAAAGAAGCGCCGGCUAACUACGUC
rnacentral:rRNA from 1 species